rnacentral:lncRNA from 1 species
UACAAAACACAAUUAAAAUGUUAUUUUUGUGGCUUAAAAAUUUACAAAUAACCCAAUUUCAUGCAAAUGAAAGUGAUUGAGCCUAGAAAAGAGAGGUGAUUUGGAGUUGGACUUGGGGAAAGAUUAGUUAUGGACUUAGAAAUUUAGUAUUUAGCUUAAAACUUUUAUUAAAAAAUUAAAAAAUACACAACUAGUUUGGUUCGGCCCAGUCUAAUUUUUUCACUAUAAGAACUGGAAUCGAAAUUUGACCAAACCGAUCUGGUUUGGUUUUUGGUCAACCCUGUUUUUUCUGAUUUUUUUUUUCUCCGGCCCAAAUCAACUAGGUUUUCAGGUUUGAAUGUCCAUCCCUAAAACUCACACACACUAAAUGAAUACAAGAACUUAAACCCAGGGCCUUGCCUAGAUGAGCAAUUUCUCC